rnacentral:rRNA from 1 species
GAUGAACGCUGGCGGCGUGCCUAAUACAUGCAAGUCGAGCGAACAGACGAGGAGCUUGCUCCUCUGACAUUAGCGGCGGACGGGUGAGUAACACGUGGAUAACCUACCUAUAAGACUGGGAUAACUUCGGGAAACCGGAGCUAAUACCGGAUAAUAUAUUGAACCGCAUGGUUCAAUAGUGAAAGACGGUUUUGCUGUCACUUAUAGAUGGAUCCGCGCCGCAUUAGCUAGUUGGUAAGGUAACGGCUUACCAAGGCAACGAUGCGUAGCCGACCUGAGAGGGUGAUCGGCCACACUGGAACUGAGACACGGUCCAGACUCCUACGGGAGGCAGCAGUAGGGAAUCUUCCGCAAUGGGCGAAGGCCUGACGGAGCAACGCCGCGUGAGUGAUGAAGGUCUUCGGAUCGUAAAACUCUGUUAUUAGGGAAGAACAAAUGUGUAAGUAACUAUGCACGUCUUGACGGUACCUAAUCAGAAAGCCACGGCUAACUACGUG